GUUUCUCAAGAGAGAGUUGAUUUUUCGGCCGCCGAAGAGGCAAGCCUGUCAUAUGCUGGUGAUCAUAUGCAGUGUGAAACUUUCAGGCAAAAGGACUGGGAA
rnacentral:ncRNA from 1 species